CUUCACCGACCCCAGCCACAACGGCCUUUCCUCGGGCCGGUCCUGACCAUAGGUCGCCAUCAGCGCCUGCGCCUC
rnacentral:antisense_RNA from 1 species